CCUACGGGAGGCAGCAGUGAGGAAUAUUGGUCAAUGGACGAGAGUCUGAACCAGCCAAGCAGCGUGAAGGAUGAAUGCCCUAUGGGUUGUAAACUUCUUUUAUAAAGGAAUAAAACGAGGCACGUGUGCCUUUUUGCAUGUACUUUAUGAAUAAGGAUCGGCUAACUCAGGGCCAGCAGCCGCGGUAAUACGGAGGAUCCGAGCGUUAUCCGGAUUUUUUGGGUUUAAAGGGAGCGUAGAUGGGUUGUUAAGUCAGUUGUGAAAGUUUGCGGCUCAACCGUAAAAUUGCAAUUGAUACUGGCAGUCUUGAGUACAGUUGAGGUAGGCGGAAUUCGUGGUGUAGCGGUGAAAUGCUUAGAUAUCACGAAGAACCCCGAUUGCGAAGGCAGCUUACUAAACUGUGACUGACAUUGAUGCUCGAAAGUGUGGGUAUCAAACAGGAUUAGAUACCCUGGUAGUC
rnacentral:rRNA from 1 species